rnacentral:rRNA from 1 species
GUCGGUGCUGAUAGCAAUGAGGUCACACCCGUUCCCAUUCCGAACACGGAAGUUAAGCUCAUUAACGUUGAUGAUACUUGGCUGGAGACGGCCUGGGAAAGUAAAAAGGUGCCGGCA